GACGAACGCUGGCGGCGUGCCUAAUACAUGCAAGUAGAACGCUGAAGAGAGGAGCUUGCUCUUCUUGGAUGAGUUGCGAACGGGUGAGUAACGCGUAGGUAACCUGCCUUGUAGCGGGGGAUAACUAUUGGAAACGAUAGCUAAUACCGCAUAACAAUGGAUGACACAUGUCAUUUAUUUGAAAGGGGCAAUUGCUCCACUACAAGAUGGACCUGCGUUGUAUUAGCUAGUAGGUGAGGUAAUGGCUCACCUAGGCGACGAUACAUAGCCGGCCUGAGAGGGUGGUCGGGCAACCUGGGACUGGGACACGGCCCAGGCUCCUUCGGGAGGCAGCAGUAGGGAAACUUCGGCAAUGGGGGCAACGCUGACCGAACAACGCCGCGUGGGGGGAGGAGGGUUUCGGAUCGUAAAGCUCUGUUGUAAGUGAAGAACGGGUGUGAGGGUGGAAAGUUCACACUGUGACGGUAGCUUACCAGAAAGGGACGGCUAACUACGUG
rnacentral:rRNA from 1 species